UAAGGAUUUAAGCAGCAGUUUUUUUCUUGUUCAUUUUGUGAGUUUUCAUUAUCUUCUUGUCAUCUCAUGCCAAAGCCAAGAGUGAACUACCCUCCAAUCCAAUGCUGGCGCUGAUUCAGAACUGCUCCAUGCCACUCGCACGUACGGUGCGACCUCCGUCUCGCACGCAGAUGCAACCUUAUUUCUCGUCCGCUGUGCGUGCAUCCAUGUCCCCACGUGUCAAAUCCCCGUCUCAGGUUCUCCUUGGUUAGUCAGAGAAGGAGCUGGAACAGCUUGCCCUUAACUGCGGUCAGGAAACCUACAGGGGCAAGCAACUUUAUCAUUUCUUAUACCAGAGGAAGUUUAGAGAAAUUAAGGAUUUCUAUCAGUUGGUUGCCCUUUACGCUGCUCCUUUUGUGCCACUGGAAAAGGGGGGUUGUCAGGCCUCAAAAAAAAAAAAAAAAAAAAAAAAAAAAAAAAAAAAGAGAGAACGGGGAGAAAGGAACGUGCGCUGCCACAAAGGGACAGCGAACGUUGCUUCCCCCUUUGAAAACAAAACCAAAAGCAAACAAGAAAAGGAAAGAGAAGAAGAGGGGAAGAGGGAAGAGUUUGGGAAGUUAAAAAGGGAAGCUAUGGGUCUGCUGGGAGGGGAAAGGAUUGCUGCCAAAUUUUUGUGAGAGAGGAGAAGUUCUUGCUGCAAGUUCUGGGAAAGAGGGGAAGUGGAGAACUUUUGAAGUUUUGGAGGAGAUAGACUCAAAGAAUUUACAAAGGAAGUCUUCAAGAGGUGGAUUAACGAGCGUUGGUGAUAAGGAUUUGAGUAGAGAGCGUCUGUGUGCGCCCGUGAACGUUCGUUCAUUUCCGGAUGGAGACGAGCGUUUGGAAGAUGCGUUGAAUGAAGAGAACCUGGUUGAUGUCGAAGUGAAGAUCGAGCAGUGAGACCGCUCGGCCUGUAUUGUAUUUAGUUGAAUUGAGUGGUCGUUCGACCAUCUUUUGUUUUCGUUUAAGUUUAUUUCCACCGUUCGGUAUUUGUCUGUGUAAACCGUUCGGUCAGGUUUUUAUUUGUGCGUUCGACUUCAGAUUGUGAUUCGUGUUGUAAGGAGUACGGCUUGGCUUUUGUUUUUAGUGAAAGACUGUACUGAAUUAUUAUUAAAUGUGAUUUUUCUGAAUCUAUAGUGCUGACUGUAUUUUUGGGAUG